CCUACGGGAGGCAGCAGUGGGAAAUUUCCGCAAUGGGCGAAAGCCUGACGGAGCAAUACCGCGUGAGGGAAGACUGCCUAUGGGUUGUAAACCUCUUUUUUCAGGGAGGAAUAAAAUGACGUGUACCUGAAGAAUAAGCAUCGGCUAACUCCGUGCCAGCAGCCGCGGUAAGACGGAGGAUGCAAGUGUUAUCCGGAAUCACUGGGCGUAAAGCGUCUGUAGGUGGUUUAAUAAGUCAACUGUUAAAUCUUGAGGCUCAACUUCAAAACUGCAGUCGAAACUAUUAGACUAGAGUAUAGUAGAGGUAAAGGGAAUUUCCAGUGGAGCGGUGAAAUGCGUAGAGAUUGGAAAGAACACCGAUGGCGAAAGCACUUUACUGGGCUAUUACUAACACUCAGAGACGAAAGCUAGGGUAGCAAAUGGGAUUAGAUACCCCAGUAGUCCUAGCUGUAAACAAUGGAUACUAGAUGUUGAACAGAUCGACCUGUGCAGUAUCAAAGCUAACGCGUUAAGUAUCCCGCCUGGGAAGUAUGCUCGCAAGAGUGAAACUCAAAGGAAUUGACGG
rnacentral:rRNA from 1 species